GGGGCGGUAGCUCAGUUGGUAGAGCAGCGGACUCAUAAUCCGUCAGGUCCUCGGUUCAAGUCCGAGUCGCCCCA
rnacentral:tRNA from 1 species